AUCUGAAAAAUACAAAAGUGCAUUCUAUUUUGUGAUUGGUGCUUUAGUAACUUAUCAGCUGUGAUUAAAUUCUUACAUAAUUUUCAUUUAGAAAGAUUGUAUCAGUUGUUAAGGAUACAGAAACUCUUGAAUUUGAUGGGAGAGGAGAAUCUUGAUAAACAGUUAUCUUGCUUUUCUGCUUUCUAUCAUCAAUCAAUCCCCCUGUACCUCACUGAUUGGUAACAGUUGCAGUUCACCAGGAGCCUUAGUAGAAAAGUAAUGGCAAGAAUAUUUGGGUUAAAUUAUUGCUUGCAUAGUUUAUAAUCCAUAUGCAGUCUAGCCUGAAGGCUGUAAACACAGGCACAAGUUUGAGACUCAGCUGGACCUGGCUUCAGGACUGGCCCUGCUCUUACCAGCUAAUUAAUCUGGACAGUUGUUUAAUAUCUCUGAGCUUCAACUUCCUCAUGAAAAAUGAAGGCAAUAAUUAUAUGGUAUUAUCUCAAGGGUCAUUUGUGAAAAUUAAAUGAGAUAAUUCAUCUAAGAUUGUCGCAGUGCUGGCACAUAGUAACCAUAUGGUGUUAGUUACAAUUAUGUUUUUUUAUUAAUGUGGCUAUUAUUAUAUUUAUCAAAUAGUUUGCCUGAACCAUUACAAUAUGUGUACAUUAAUGUUUGGUGCUCGACUUCCUGAUUCAUAGUUAAGGUAAAAUUUUGUUCACAUUGCUUAGAAGUUAUGUACUCCACUGAUGGACUUCUCUGUCAAUUCAAGCUUCGUUUACACUAGCAUGACAUUGUUCCAGGAAUCACUUCCAUAUUCUUUAUCCCCAUAGUGGAUGGUAGUUGAAUGAAGGGAAUUGAGAGGCAUCUGAAGGGGGUUAUGGUUUUUGUAAUAUGUGGAAAGAGCACAGGGUUUGAUAGAAAAGCUUGCUUAUUUGUUUAUUUACCUAUUUUAAUCCUCACUUAAGGAUAUAUUUAUUGAUUUUGGAGAGAGAGAAACAUCGAUCUGUUGCCUUCUGUAGCACCCUGACUAGGAAUUGAACCUGCAACCUUUUGGUGUAUAGGAUGAUGCUCUAACCAACUGAUCCACCUAGCCAGGGCAGGAAAGAGCUUAUUGAUGAGAGUCAGAUGCUAGAGGAAAAAUUUUAUAUCAGGAACAUAAUGAUAUCCUCUUAAAAAUGAUUCUGUUGUAGCUUUUUUUUUACAUUUUAAAUUUGUCAGCAUAACAGGAGGGCACUUUACAUGAAACAUAAACUGUCUCUCUUCUAUAUACUUUUUUCCUUAGUAGUAAGCUCAUGGUUUUAAAUUUGUGGUACUCUUAAUUACACUAGGAAUGGGCUGAUUAUAGAGAGUGUAAUUAUAGCUUUGAAGUAUUGUUAUACAGAAGCUAAAAUAGAAUGGAAUCCCUGAAGAAUUGAACUGAAAUACUUGUCAUGGAUGAAAGUUAUAAAUAUUUGUUUUCUGGUCAAGCAUGAAAAGUUCAUAAUAUUUUAAUACAUCUUUUCUCUUAGGAAUGAGUUAAUUAUUCAAUGCAUUGGAUAAUUAUUGGAUAAUUAUCCUUGCCAUUGCCAGAGAACUUUCUUUUUAAAAGUUGUUUAAGGAUCUGAGAGGACAUUUUAAAAGGGAACUAAUAUGGGUGAGGCUUUUUGGAAAUAAGAGAGUAUUUUUGAGAUCCUAAUCUGCUCUUCUGUAAUUACACUACACAAGAGGAACAUGUUUAAAAUAACUGUAUAAUGUAAGAAUUCCAUACUUUUUGUGGGGAGCAUCCACUUUUAGUUUUCCGUGUUUUGAGAACCUGACAGGAGGCUGGGCCAAGGGCUGUGGUCCCAGAAAUUUUGAGAAGCUGGGCUAGAUCCUUGGGUGGGGUUAAUGAUGAUCUCAUCCACAGUCUUGGCAAGACUUGCCCUUGGUUUCUCAGCC